GUGAGGUCUGAGAGGCCGUUCUGAAGGAGGGAGGGAGGGAGCUCUCGGUGGAUUAGCCUGAUCUCAGUGAGGUCUGAGAGGCCGUUCUGAAGGAGGGAGGGAGAGAGGGAGCUCUCGGUGGGUUAGUCUGAUCUCGGUGAGGUCUGAGAGGCCGUUCUGAAAGAGGGAGGGAGGGAGGGAGCACUCGGUGGGUUAGUCUGAUCUCGGUGAGGUCUGAGAGGCCGUUCUGAAGGAGGGAGGGAGGGAGGGAGGGAGCUCUCGGUGGGUUAGCCUGAUCUCGGUGAGGUCUGAGAGGCCGUUCUGAAGGAGGGAGGGAGGGAGCUCUCGGUGGGUUAGUCUGAUCUCGGUGAGGUCUGAGAGGCCGUUCUGAAGGAGGGAGGGAGGGAGCUCUCGGUGGGUUAGCCUGAUCUCAGUGAGGACUGAGAGGCCGUUCUGAAGGAGGGAGGGAGGGAGCUCUCGGUGGGUUAGCCUGAUCUCGGUGAGGUCUGAGAGGCCGUUCUGAAGGAGGGAGGGAGGGAGGGAGCUCUCGGUGGGUUAGCCUGAUCUCAGUGAGGAAUGAGAGGCCGUUCUGAAGGAGGGAGGGAGGGAGCUUUCGGUGGGUUAGCCUGAUCUCAGUGAGGACUGAGAGGCCGUUCUGAAGGAGGGAGGGAGGGAGCUCUCGGUGGGUUAGCCUGAUCUCAGUGAGGUCUGAGAGGCCGUUCUGAAGGAGGGAGGGAGCUCUCGGUGGGUUAGUCUGAUCUCAGUGAGGUCUGAGAGGUCGUC